CGGUCCCUCCGUUCAGGGUCCCUGACUUCCUGCAACAAUUACAGGCAUGAGCCACCAUGCCUGGCCUAACUUUAUGUUGUUUACAAAUUAUCCAGCAUAAUAAAUGUUGUUAUAGUACCUUGAAUGGACUAAGAGACAAAUUAGUCUAAAUGACCAUAAUGUGUGUAUCAAGUGAAUCUUCUUGGAGGAGGAUGUCCUCAACGUAAUGCUGUAUGUGUGCUCAUGGAGAUUGUGGAUGUCAUUAAGCUCUUGUCUGCAAAGCUUGUGUGUGAUGACAAAGCUAUGAGGGUACCCCUAGGUGGCCUGGAAAGGUGUAUUGUGUUUCUUCAGAGGUGGAGGCAACUGUAGCUGAGGGUCUGUAGAAAUAAGCACUUAACAGAACAUGCUAGCCAAAUGAAUUAGAGCAAAAUGUUUACCAGUUCUUGAUUGAAUAGUAUUAGCAAUUUUUAAUAAUAUUAGAUGUUAGAUAUGGGGGCCCUGAUAGAUGGGACUACAGCCUUAAUGCUGUAGUAGUCCAUCAUAAGACAUUCUUUAUGAUUUUUUUUUUCCAGAUAUGGGAACAAGAAGCACUUUGGACUGUUAAAUGGAGAUGCAGUAUGGAUAGUCACUCUUUUAUUAAUCAUGUUUUGUGUAACAAAUUUUAAUUAUUGAAGGCCAUGUUUCACCCUACAUUGGGCCGUAUUAACUAUCUUAACUGGGGGACUAAGUGAUCUGAUUUUAUCAAGCCAAUCUCUAAGUGCAAACAACUUACUUUAAUUUUAAUGUAUUAUUUAUUAUGUCUGCUCUACCUCCAACAUGUUCUAUUUUAGAGCAACGUACCUCCAACAUAGGCUAUUUUAGAACAAUAGGUAUGACUAUGGGUAAUUUAGGCAAGGCUGUAGUUAAAGUGAGGUAUACUCAUUUUUCAAAAUUUUAUAUAUAGUUGCCUUCUCAAGACAAUAGGGGCAGAGUGAGUACAUUUAGCGGGAUCCUUGCAGGGAGCCAAAGACCCCAUGGGAUAUGACCAACUCAGCAUUCCACUGGAGGCUAUAUGAUCAAACAGCACACGAAUGCAGGAUGUGGGCAAACUCACGAUUACUGCUGCUACCAGAAGGUUUGCUGAGGGCCAUCGCUUCCUGGUGCCGAGCUCCUUGAGGUUGUCUACUGGGACAUCUAGAGAAUGCAGUCUUGCAAGCCUACUCUGGACUGAGCAGCUGACCCCUUCUUCCACCCCCCUUCUCACUAUCUCUUUUGACUAAUAAAUAUGGAGGGCUAUGUAAAGCUCAGGGCCCUUGUCCACUAGAGGCAAGGUGCCCCCUGACUCCUUCUUCCAGAUGUACUCUUUUGUCUCUUGUCUUUUAUUCUCGUGUUCAUCCCCCUUUGUUCAGUCCACCAGGGAUUGUGGCACAUUACAUGGUGGUGUCCCGAACAGCCCCAGAAUUGGGUGCUCUACAGGUGGCACUCAAACAGGCGACAGUCUGAACACGGGACUAUGAGGACAUGAAUGAAGAAGAUCUCCUGGAACAGGGGAAACGGGGACCCCAGGACGAGUCGGCCGGCAGUGGAUAUAAGUCUGUAAAAUUGGAUGGACCGCCAAUUGAAGUAUGAGAACUGCCCAGAAAGGGAGAUAUGCAGGGAGCUGAAGGCCCCUGGGACAUGACCAACUCAGCAUUCCACUGGAGGCUAUAUGAUGAAAGAGCAAACUGUUUAUCAUGAAUACAGGAUGUGAGCAGACUCACAACUGCUCCUGCCGCCAGAAGGUUUGCAGAGGGCAGUUGCUUCCUGGCGCCAAGCUCUUUGAAGUUAUCUACUGGGACAUCUAGAGAAUGUAGUCUUGUAAGCCUACUCUGGACCAACCAGCUGACCUCUUCUCCCACCCCCUUUCUCACUAUCUCUUUUGACUAAUAAAUAUGGAGGGCUGUGUAAAGUUCAGGGCCCUUGUCCACUAGAGGCAAGGUGCCCCCUGACCCCUUCUUCCAAAUAUA